rnacentral:lncRNA from 1 species
UCCCGGUCAUAGGUUACUCAAGAGGGACAUCGUGAUAACCGGACAGACUGGUGUGCUAUAUACCCGUCCAUAUGAUGGAUGCAUUUGGUCUCAUAGCUGCUUGUGUAGGGACACUAGGGAUACAGUACAAGUGCUCAUUGGAGAAUGAGUUCACUGAUUGAUUCGCUUACGGAAUGCUGGAUGGUUGAUGAUGCCUUAUUGUCAGACAGCGAUUCCGUAGUCCUAGUGGUGUAUCUGGCCCUUAGACUUGAGACACCAAGGAUGUCCUGUAUGAGUGCUCCACUCUUUGAUACCAG